rnacentral:rRNA from 1 species
UAUCUCUGUAGAGUCUGCAUAUCAAUAAGCGGAGGAAAAGAAACUAACAAGGAUUCCCCUAGUAACGGCGAGUGAAGCGGGAAGAGCUCAAAUUUGAAAUCUUAAAGGGUUUCCCUUUACGAAUUGUAGUUUAAAGAAGUGUUUUCUGUUGGAGUUUCGGUAAAAGUUCUUUGGAAUAGGACAUCAUAGAGGGUGAGAAUCCCGUAUUUGACUAUUCUUUCUAGCUUUGUGAUACACUUUCAAAGAGUCGGAUUGUUUGGGAAUGCAGUCCAAAAUGGGUGGUAAAUUUCAUCUAAAGCUAAAUAUUGGCGAGAGACCGAUAGCGAACAAGUACCGUGAGGGAAAGAUGAAAAGAACUUUGAAAAGAGAGUUAAACAGUACGUGAAAUUGUCAAAAGGGAAGCGUUUGACACCAGUGUUGUUUUUCCGAAAAUCAAUUAAAAAUUGAUUCAUGCCAGGUUGUAUUGACCUUAUCAGCUUGCAAUUUGGUUUUGGGUCUCUUUUUGAUGCACUUUUCGGUUAACAAGUCAACAUCAAUUUCCUUUGCUGUAAAAAGGUAAGAGGAAGGUGGCUUCAAUUUCGGUUGAAGUGUUUAUAGCCUUUUAUCUCUGCAGUCGGGGAGAUUGAGGUCUGCAGCGUAGAUCCUUCGGGGCUAGAUACAUUUAUGCUAAGUUAUAGCUUUUCAUAGACAACUUGUUAACUAUGUUUAGUCAUGUAGCUUACUCGUAAGUGCUAUUUUACCUACGCUUAGGAUGUUGAGCGCAUGUCUCUCUCU